rnacentral:rRNA from 1 species
AUUGAACGCUGGCGGCAUGCCUAACACAUGCAAGUCGAACGGCAGCAUGAAUAGGGGUAACCUUAUUUGAUGGCGAGUGGCGGACGGGUGAGUAAUAUGUAGGAAUCUACCUAGAGGAGGGGGAUAACUUGGGGAAACCCAAGCUAAUACCACAUAAGCCCUACGGGGGAAAGCAGGGGACCGCAAGGCCUUGCGCCUUAUGGUGAGCCUACAUCGGAUUAGCUAGUUGGUGGGGUAAAGGCCUACCAAGGCGACGAUCCGUAGCUGGUCUGAGAGGAUGAUCAGCCAAACUGGGACUGAGACACGGCCCAGACUCCUACGGGAGGCAGCAGUGGGGAAUAUUGGACAAUGGGCGAAAGCCUGAUCCAGCAAUGCCGCGUGUGUGAAGAAGGCCUUAGGGUUGUAAAGCACUUUCAGUAGGGAGGAAGGGUGUAACGCUAAUAUCGUUGCACAUUGACGUUACCUACAGAAGAAGCACCGGCUAACUCUGUGCCAGCCGCCGCAGUAA